GAAAGCGUGGGGAGCAAACGGGAUUAGAUACCCCGGUAGUCCACGCCCUAAACGAUGUUCACUAGUCGUCGGAAAGCUUGUCUUUUCGGUGAUGCACUUAACAGAUUAAGUGAACCGCCUGGGGAGUACGGUCGCAAGAUUAAAACUCAAAGGAAUAGACGGGGACCCGCACAAGUGGUGGAGCAUGUGGUUUAAUUCGAAAAUACGCGAAGAACCUUACCUAGCCUUGACAUUGAUUGAACACUUUAGAGAUAGAGUGGUGCCUUUCGGGGAACAUGAAAACAGGUGCUGCACGGCUGUCGUCAGCUCGUGUCGUGAGAUGUUGGGUUAAGUCCCGCAACGAGCGCAACCCUCGUCCUUAGUUGCCAGCAGGUUAAGCUGGGCACUCUAAGGAGACUGCCUUCGUAAGGAGGAGGAAGGUGAGGACGACGUCAAGUCAUCAUGGCCCUUAUGGCUAGGGCUACACACGUGCUACAAUGGGGCGUACAGAGUGUUGCGAUACCGCGAGGUGGAGCUAAUCACUUAAAGCGUCUCUCAGUUCGGAUUGGAGUCUGCAACUCGACUCCAUGAAGCUGGAAUCACUAGUAAUCGCAGAUCAGCAAUGCUACGGUGAAUACGUUCCCGGGUCUUGUACUCACCGCCCGUC
rnacentral:rRNA from 1 species